CCCUGAACAAGCCCGAUAUCUGAUCUUGGAAGCUAAGCAGGGUCGGGCCUGGUUAGUACUUGGAUGGGAGACCACCUAGGGAGACCAGGU
rnacentral:rRNA from 1 species